GACGAACGCUGGCGGCGUGCUUAACACAUGCAAGUUGAACGGAGAUAUCGUUUUCGGAUGAUAUCUUAGUAGCGGACGGGUGAGUAACGCGUGAGCAACCAACCUUUGUGAGGGGGACAACAGCUGGAAACGGCUGCUAAUACCGCAUAAGACCACGGUUUCGCAUGGAACUGAGGUAAAAGAAAUUCGCACAAAGACGGGCUCGCGUCCCAUUAGCUAGUUGGUGAGGUAACGGCUCACCAAGGCAGCGAUGGGUAGCCGACCUGAGAGGGUGAUCGGCCACACUGGAACUGAGACACGGUUCAGACUCCUACGGGUGGCAG
rnacentral:rRNA from 1 species